GACAGCACAGCCCCAUCUAGAAUGAUUGUGCUGCAUCCUGGAAGUUUGGAUACUCCAUAUUCUUUCAUAUGCCUUCUUGCUUCAGCCGCUACAUCCCAUUCCCCUGCAGCAGCAUGAAUGUUUGCCAAUUGAAUGUGCCGGCCAGCAUGGUCAGGAAGGAUCUAAUUCAAUUAGAAAUUUCCUUAUCUGUUUACCUGACUCUGUAUUUUCAUGAAUGCGACAGGCAUUAAGCAGUGUCCCCCACUACUCAGUGUUAUAGAGGUGAUAAUUUGCUGGUCUCCUCA
rnacentral:misc_RNA from 1 species